CCGGAUCUCAGAUCAAGUAAGAUUACCCGCCGAAUUUAAGCAUAUAAUUAAGCGGAGGAAAAGAAACUAACUAGGAUUCCCUCAGUAACGGCGAGUGAAGCGGGAUGAGCUCAGGAUGUAAAUCUGCGCUAUUAAAGCGCCGAAUUGUGGUCUGUAGACUUUGGUGUUAUCUGCCGGGCCAAGUUCCUUGGAAAAGGACAGCUGAGAGGGUGAGACUCCCGUCCGCCUGGUAGAGUGAGCCUUUGUCAAAGAGUCGAGUUGUUUGGGAUUGCAGCUCUAAUUUGGUGGUAAAUUCCAUCUAAAGCUAAAUAUUGGUGGGAGACCGAUAGCGUACAAGUACCGUGAGGGAAAGAUGCAAAGAACUUUGAAAAGAGAGUUAAAGAGUACCUGAAAUUGCUGAAACGGAAGCGAAGGAAACCAGUGUUUGUUUGUUCAUAUUUCCCUGACCACUUGUGGUUUGGGCGCUGUGGGCUUGCGUCGGUUUGCUUUGGUUAAUCCCUUUGGAAGAGCGCAGUCAGAGUUGAUGUCUGUUGCUAGCACUGGGUUUGACUUGAGUAGACGAAAUGGUUUUCUUUACCCCGUCUUGAAACACGGACCAAGGAA
rnacentral:rRNA from 1 species